UUUUACAAUGGGUUGGCAACAGAGUUGCUUUUCAGACUUCUGAAAUAACUGCUACAGUAAUUUGUACCAUAAUCUUCAAGCUUAGGUUGAUUUGUGAACUACAUAUAGAUCUUCAGAGCUCUUGUGCUGUGGGCUGCAAAAAAAAUGUUCAGUAAGAGGUUUUGCAAUAUGAGAAUGCUUCAGGGUGCCACAUUGGUAUUGAUUUUCUUCCUGCUGAUGAAUACCCAUGAAUCCUCUGCUUCAAGACUAUUGCUAUCUGAUAUGAGACAUGAAAUAGACAAAGCCAACAAAUCUUCCGGCCACCAGUAUAAGGCUUCAGAGCAUACCAACAAGGAAGCCAAAUGCGAAUCCAUGGGCGGAAAAGAAACUUGUGAAGAUGAAGAGUUCUAUCAUGCUGAUUACAUCUAUACUACUUCUAAACCUGGGCAUUAGACUUUUUAGAAUGAAGAUAUAAGACCAACAUCUUGGGCUGUAAAAUUGUCAGAUUACUCCUAUUAAUUGAGGCAAAGUAUCAGAUUACUCCUAUAGUGCAAUAGUGCACUUAUAUUAAUUGAGGCAAAGUAUCCUUCACAUCAUAAACAUACUAUUUUACUAUAUAUUGUUACUUUAUGUUGGUUUUCA